rnacentral:rRNA from 1 species
AUUGAAUGCUGGCGGCAGGCCUAACACAUGCAAGUCGAACGGUAGCACAGAGAGCUUGCUCUCGGGUGACGAGUGGCGGACGGGUGAGUAAUGUCUGGGAAACUGCCCGAUGGAGGGGGAUAACUACUGGAAACGGUAGCUAAUACCGCAUAACGUCGCAAGACCAAAGUGGGGGACCUUCGGGCCUCACACCAUCGGAUGUGCCCAGAUGGGAUUAGCUAGUAGGUGGGGUAAUGGCUCACCUAGGCGACGAUCCCUAGCUGGUCUGAGAGGAUGACCAGCCACACUGGAACUGAGACACGGUCCAGACUCCUACGGGAGGCAGCAGUGGGGAAUAUUGCACAAUGGGCGCAAGCCUGAUGCAGCCAUGCCGCGUGUAUGAAGAAGGCCUUCGGGUUGUAAAGUACUUUCAGCGGGGAGGAAGGCGAUGGAGUUAAUAGCUUCAUCGAUUGACGUUACCCGCAGAAGAAGCACCGGCUAACUCCGUGCCAGCCGCCGCAGUAA